rfam:Stegodyphus mimosarum contig44042, whole genome shotgun sequence.
GCCUUCGUGGUGUAGUGGUCAGCACGCUGGGCGCGUAUUCCAGAGGUCCGUGGUUCGAGUCCUGGCGAAAGGUA